rnacentral:rRNA from 1 species
AGAGUUUGAUCAUGGCUCAGGAUGAACGCUGGCGGCGUGCCUAAAACAUGCAAGUCAUACGGGCUACCUUCGGGUAGCCAGUGGCAAACGGGUGAGUAACACGUGGGAACACGCCUUCGAGUGGGGAAUAACGCUGAGAAAUCAGUGCUAAUACCGCAUAUGGUCUAACGACUAAAGCCGUAAGGCGCUCGGGGAGUGGCCCGCGUCCGAUUAGCUAGUUGGUGGGGUAAUGGCCUACCAAGGCGGCGAUCGGUAGCUGGUCUGAGAGGAUGGUCAGCCACACUGGGACUGCGAACGGCCCAGACUCCUACGGGAGGCAGCAGUUAGGAAUUUUCGGCAAUGGACGAAAGUCUGACCGAGCGACGCCGCGUGAAGGAUGAAGCCUCUCGGGGUGUAAACUUCUUUUCUACGGGAAGAUAAUGACGGUACCGUAGGAAUAAGCACCGGCUAACUACGUGCCAGCAGCCGCGGUA